UUUAUUUGUUUGCAUCGCACUUUGCCACUUUACAACAGUGAUACAUACCGUUGAAAGGUACUGAACAUGGCCGGGGUGUUAGCGAAGAAAGCUGUCACUUACGUGAAGAGCAAAGAGUUUCGACAAUACCUAUGCAGCACACACUUCUGGGGUCCAGUGGCCAACUGGGGACUCCCUCUGGCAGCCCUUGGGGACCUGAAGAAGGAUCCAGAGAUUAUUAGUGGAAAGAUGACCUUAGCUCUGGCUAUCUACUCCAUGCUGUUCAUGAGGUUCGCUAUCAAGGUCCAGCCUCGCAACAUGCUACUGUUCUCCUGUCACAUUACUAACGAGUUUGCUCAACUAACUCAGUUAGCACGCUUCAUGAACUUCCACUAUUUUUCUGAUGCAUCAAAGAGGAAGAAGAUUGAAGCCAACCCCGAAUCAGCAGACGUGAAGAACCUCCAAGAGUCAAAGCCACAUAUAUCUUCCUCCUCCCCGUAACGUGUGCUUGUUGACAGACACUCGGUAGUUACAUCUUCCUGCUGGAGCCCCUCCCACCGAUACACUGAUCCUUACGUCAUCAACUUUAUGUGUAACUUUACACCUGUGCCACACGCUGUGCUGCUAUUCAUCAAACUUUACAGUCAGAUCAUUGCCUUUGAGAUCGUGAAAAUGUUUCCAGUGUUUCUUCACACAAUUGUGUCUGGUAACUAAACAAUUGUGUUUGAAAUAUCACACAAGCUGUUGUGUCAAUAAGGACAGAGUUGACAUGGAUUUUGACUGAUUUCUUCUCUUGGUCUGACAGUUCAGUACAUAUGAUGAAUGUUCCAGUAACUCUUCCAAAGUUUUACAAAACAGUAAAGAAGUCAACUCUUGUCUUCAGGUAUGUGUACAUUACUCCUGGAACUUCUUUACAAAAGGUUUUUGGACACUUUCGGUGUGUGAUUGUAUACUCAUACAGGCUUAUUGCUACAGUCAGUCUGUAGAGUUACACUGUAACAUGGGUGUUGCGGCACACUCGAUCUGUAGUGAUACACUGUAACAUGGGUGGUGCUACACACCAGGGCCCCGUUUCACAAAGCUAUCAUAGCUAAGUCUAUGUUACAGUAUAGGAGUUACGACAGUCGUAGCACUACAAUCGCUUUGAGGAAGGGGGCCCAGAUCUCUAGUGAUACACUGUAACAGGGAUAUUGCAGCAUGCUAGAUCUGUUGAGUUACAGUGUAACAUGGAUGAUGCUACACACUAGAUCUUUAGUACUACAAUGUUUAGUGGGUACAUUUACCUGGACUGCGACCCAUUCUUACCUGGAUAUUGUUACACACCAAAGGCUAAUGUUACACUGUAACAUGGGUAGACAGACAUCUAUGAGCAUCUUAAGAUGUUGGGACAUAUUUGUGUAUCUCCAGUGAAACUGAUUCCUCAUAAUUUUGUUCCAGUUACAAAUUAAUGUUCUGUAAAAAAUGAUCCAAAGGGACUGUUGAGAGUGUAUGAUGGAAUGUUUGUGAAGUUGACAGGAAGAUGUAACUAUCGAUGUACCACACUGAUGAGGCCGUGUGAUAGAGGGACAACUGUUCAAGAUGUCAUGUCCAUCCUCUUUUAAAAUUAGUAAUUUACGGUGACUUUUUCUUAGCCAGAGGUUAAACCUUAUGAGUGAGAGGUUGUACAUUUGUUGGUUUUGUUAUUUUAUAGACGUGUAUAAUUAUUUUCAGAUGUUGAUUGUUGGUACAGAACACAGGGGAUUCGUUUUCAACCUGUGCUAGCUGUAUCCAGAACAUAUACUGAACACAAAAAGUAAGGGAUCAUGGAUAUUUUGGAGCAUAGAUUUAUGAAGCAUGUGCUCAGACUGAACCACAACAAAAUGUCCCUUAUGUUUAUACCUCAGUGAAUAUAGUUUCGGACAUGGCUCAGAUAUGUUGAGCAUGUUAUGAACCCUGUCAGAACAUGGUUCUCUUGAGGGCUGAUGAUAUUAAUCAAGACAGUAUUUAGAGAUGAAAGUUGGUGCUCAACAAGACACAAGUUGUUGAUAUUUAACACACAUCAGUUUUAUCAAUGGUCCAAGUAAUCUUGCAUCAUUCAGAUAUCCCACUUAUUGCUCUAUCUCCUAGUGGGUACAUUGUCAUGUUCUUGUAAGAAGGGCAGUUUUGUGUUGCUGAAAGUAAACAUUUCCAUUUUCAAGUUUACUCAUGUGUAUUCUCAGUGGCCACAUCUAUGGUUUCAAACUUAUGUGAAAUCAUACCUGUUAAAAGUUUUAUAUAUAGUACAACUUUUGAAGUUUUUGAAAAAGUGAUAUGAAUUUCUCUUACUUCAUGUAUAUUUCUGGUAUCCAUCUUGAUUUGGAUUCAGUUGAAACAGAAAUGGGGCGAUGGGGUAGCCUAGUGGUUAAAGCGUUGGCUCGUCACGCCGAAGACCCGGGUUCGAAUCCCCACAUGGGUACAAUGUGAAGCCCAUAUCUGGUGUCCCCGGCCGUGAUGUUGCUGGAAUAUUGCUAAAAGCGGCAUAAAACCAAACUCAGUCAGUCAGUCAAACAGAAAUGAACCUGUGUUUAAGUUAUCUCUCAAUACGCAAUGUCAGCUGUUGUAAGAACAAUGAAACAUAUCAAACAUAUCACAGUAUCCCAAUGAGUGUAAUCUUAGUAUCUGCUUUGCAUUUGUUUGGUUCUAAAUCAUGUUUCUUGGAAAAAGUCAAGUAUGUAGAACUGAUAUUGACAUGACUUCAAUUUUGAUUAUGAUUUGGAACAUGGUGGCCUAACUUAUGGUUGUGGGUUUGAAUCCUGGAUCCAUGGUCAUGUUUUCUUGGCUUAUAUGGUUUCAGCGGAGUGCAACACUUCGGGUUUCCCUCCGACAAGCCUGACAUGAUGUGAUAUAACUGAAAUACUCACACUCAGCUAUCAGCAGAAGAUAUUACACAGCGUCUUUUCGAAAGCAUCUUGUGAGAGUAUUCACACCAAAAUUGUUUACGUUUGAUUAUCUCCACCAGUCUGUAUUUAAUAGUCAUUCCGAAAACCUAGCAUGAAUAACUUGCAACAAACAACUCAGAGUGCAUGUAUAGUAUUUUCCAUUUGGCCCAAAAUAUCAUUUAAGCUAACCUCCAACUGCCUCUACUGCAAAUACUUACCUGUAAUUAGUUAUUCCAGGUGUAAUCAGACACAGAGAGUUAUAUUCUUUCCUUAAACAUGGCUGCAGAGACUUGUCAAGUGUGGGCGUGAAGUCCUACGAAAAGUCUGGUACAGUUCUUUGUGUUGUGUUGAAGAAUCCCUGUAGCAAAAGGAAUUGUGAAAAACCAAAGAGGAUUGGUUGUAUAGAAUGUUGACAAUUAUCAAUGAAUAAUCAGGUCUUGCUUGUUAGAACAGUUGUUACUCAGUCAAAAUGUACAAUGUAUACACUCUUGCCAAAGCUAAUGAGUAUAUUGUUUCAUGUUGUUUCUACUUUUUGUUUUUAACAAGCAUUUAUCAUAUUUAAUUUAAAGCUAUUAACAUAUAGUCAUAAUGGUAUUAAUAUUUAUGUGUGGAAUAUUGCAAACAAACUUACAGGUUGGAAGCUGUGUAUUCAGAAAAGGCAGCCGUCUCUACUAAUAUAUUACAGAACUCUCUCUUGUGGUUUUAAGCGCACAAAAUGGCAAACAAUGGUGACAGGAAUACUGAUGCUAUUCUGCAGAUGGUGUAGAAAGUAAAAAAUGAGCUUACAUUGUUACAAGCAGUACUGUUUUGCUUGUGAAGACAUUUUUUUGUAUUUUUGGCUUCUUAUUUUAUACAUUAAGCAUGCACAUUUUAUUGAUAUGGAAACGCAAGGAUGCUUCUCAUUGAUCUAAUUUCUGAGCACUUUUCUGCAUGAGAUAAAGUUUUGUUCUUUUCAUUAAGCUGUAUGUGGUGGAAAUGGGUUUUCAUUAGUCUGCUUUGCUUUAUAUUAAUACCACCUAGCUUUGGAAUUGUUGUAUCCUUCAUACAGUGCAUGGUAAUCUGACAAUUAUACAUUCAGUAAGGCUGGAUAUGCUAAUUUCUAAAUGGGCUAGAAAUGCCAUUUUUCAAAUUUAAUCAGGAACAAUUCCAGUGAAUUUGACAAUCUGAAAUUGUUUGACAAAGAGUACAUAUAAUCCUGUCUGGUCUAUAAUCCUGCCUCUUGUUGUUGUGAUUUGAAUCACGACAGUUAUUAACCAGUGAAAUGAGAGGGAAUAAACAGUGUAUCUGGAUAUAUUCAAGAGCAUUGCCUUCUUGCCAGAACAUCAGUGCCAUAGUGCUGUAUUACAGGGGACUCAGCUCAAGCAAACUGGUAGUCUCAGCAAAUUGUCAGUCCCCCAAACACAAAACAAGUUUAUGCUAGUUCUGUUGUUAUGAUUAUUAAUAUUUACACAGAGACAGUAUCACAAUGUUAAUGUAUCAAGAACUGUUCAGAUUCGAGACCUACAAGUUUUGUCCACUUUUAAAGUUUACUGCCAGCUGACCUGUAAAAAUAUCUUAUUCAGUCGUAUUUAUCCCCCAUGUAUGUUUGUUUGGUGUGAGCUAUAUGUACAUAGCAGACUGCAGUACAGUAUUAUAUGAAGUUUCAUGUUUGUUAGUUGGAUUGACUAAUAUCGUUAAAAAUAGAAUCUGUUUCUCUGAUGUGAUACAACUGUGCAUGAAUAUGUUAGCAUAUCUCUUGAGGUCAGAUUUGGUGAACUGUGACUGUCUUAUUGACAGAAGCAUUGUUUUUUGAGUCAAUCAAAUGUUAGCUUUCUAAAUAAGUUGCUUUCAAUUAUUUACCACUUUAAUUCAGAAAUGUUGAUCUUCACAAAAGAAAUUGCCACAGAACACAAAUGUACCUUUUGUACUACGCCAUUGUGAAUGUUGAUACUAGGAUGCUUGGAAAGAGGAUGUAAUAAAUAUUCCCAAUAUGACUUAAGAUAUCCCAAACGAAAUAAUAGUGACUAGCCUAAUAAUAUUCUAUUUCAAAGAAAUCAGAUCUACUUGUCUGAAAGCUUUACUGACAUCUGCAAAGAAUUUAGAGUGAGUGAGUGAGUGAGUUUAGUUUUACGCCACUUUUAGCUAUAUUCCAACUUGACUUGACUUCUUCACACAGACGUAUGUUUACAUUCUUGCUAGUCUAAUGCAUAUUGAUUAAUGGCUUCGUACAACACAAGCAGGAUUAGGUAGAUGCUCUGUAGUACUUGGGCUAUGUACAGAGUGAACUUUCAACAUUAUUUUGUACAGUCACAGACAUAACUACCUCGUCUAUUGUGACUCAGCCACUCAUGGCCAUAAUCCCUAAAUUCUUGGUAAAAGUUGCUUUUGUUUACAAUAACCUAUGUUUAUAAUGAACAGUUAUAACAAAUUGACGAAUAUUACCAUAACCAACUGCUCUGUUUUUCUUGCCACUUGUAUGUUUAGUCCAAAUUCAUAUAAUGAACAAUGGUUAUACCGAACCGAAACUAGUGGUCCUUCUGAAAUUGUCAUUAUUCAUAGCUUACUGUAUGUUUUCUUUUCAUUCUGCAGUCCACAGUCACAUCAGAUAAAGCUAAGUUUGCAGGGAAGGAGAAAACAUAUAAGCCAGAUUCUAAUGCUAGAUGAACUAUGAUUGGUAGAAUUCCGGGACAGUUGUUUAUGUAAAUGGUUGAAUGCAGUGAACGAUGUGAAUGAUGAUGGUUGGGGUUUGGUUUGCUACAACAAUGCAUCACUGUUUCAUCUACUUACUCAUUCAUAGUUACACAGAAAAUCAUCAGUUAACAAGUAGGUUGAAAUAAUGAGCAGUAAACCAAAUGGCUUGAUCAAAGACUUUAUUUGUAGGACUGAAAAUCAUAUGUUCUAACAUACCUUUGUGUGUUUAUCAAUCUUUAGUAGUGUUGUGAAUAGGGAUUACCUGAGGGGCAUUAUGAGCGUACUUUCAAAGCAGAAACAAUGAGAGAGUGUUUCAUCAUUUCCCCAUUUUUUUUUCAUUCACUACAUUUUUUCUCAAAUGAGAAUUCAUUUACCAGGAUCAGGUUUAUAUUGGGCUUUUUUAUAUUUAUGUUUUCCCAACUCAUAUUUAAUUGAGUUCAGCACUAGUGGCUGUGACUUUUAUUGACCCCAAUUUGACCCCAGUUUGAUCCCAGUUUGACAAGCUCAAGCCACAGCACAUAACAGAGUAAUAUAUAUUGUCAUAAGCUGAUCUUUAGUGCAAGGUGCAUAUCAGCAUGACCAACAUUGCACAUUUGUCUUAACACAUAAGUUUGAUUUCUGUGAUUGUUUGUUGAUUUAAGUCCUUCAUGGAAGAAGUGUAUGAGAUGCACACAUUCAGUCUGUAGAGCCCGGUGCCUCCUGGGACAAGGUAUGGUAAGGGCCUCCA
rnacentral:misc_RNA from 1 species